AUGAGGCCCUAUUUUGUAUUUUCCCAAUUUUUUUUUCUCGCUUCGGGGGUUUUCGCAUGAAGAAUGCUUCGAUUCGACGACUGCUGAGGAAAUUCACGUUGAGUAAUCUUAUGCACGAAACCGUUACAAUCGACUGGGCUUCUUCUUCCUCGUGGUGAUUUGGCAUGAAACUAUUAUAAUCGGCUAGGCUUCGUCUCCUUCGUGAUGAUUGGUUCAGAUUAAGGGUUUUGUUUUUGGUUUGAUUCGAGAACGAAACUACAACAAUCGGCUGGGCUUGGUCUCCUUCGUGAUUGAUUUGGUUGUACUGAUCUGAUCUAGGGUUGUUUGGUUUGAUUCGGGCAAGAAGCUAUUUCAAUCCGUUUUGUUUCUUCUUCCUCGGGUUUCGAAUCUAAUCCAUGGAAGCUUGUCUCCGCUUCAUCGAGGUAUUACUCUGUCUCUCUCAUUUUGUUUUUGUGUUUUAUGUUUUGUUUUUCAAUUUUGUUUUGAGGAUUGAAGUCGAAUUAUUACAACUGAUUGAGUUCAUGAUCUGAUCAGAUUUAUUUUUCCUGUAUUUAAGCAAUUGGCUUUUGUAUUAUUGUGGUUUUAAUUUUGGUUUUCGUUUUCUUGAUCCAUUUACAAAGAAGGAUCCUCUCUUUAACAAAGAAUUCAAAGCCUUUAUUUGGUUCUGGCUUCUUGUUUUGCGGAUUCUUAUGUAUCGGGGAUUUUAGUUUUUGAUGUUUUUGUUUUGGUUUUGUUUUUUUCAAAACCCAAAAAAGAUCAUGGGCAGACACUAAUCUAAUGGUGUUCUGUCAUAUUCUAUUUUGGGGACAUUGUCCCGAGCAAAACCGUGAACUGUUGGCUUGGUAGUGCAUGCAUGUUGGGAAUGGGAAAAGAAAAAA